UAAAACUGGACCGUCUCACAGAAGGUCUCCAUGGCUACGGAGCAGGGUGGGGGCGGUGAGCCCCGAGGGGCAGCAGCCGGACGAGGUCUCCCGGGGCCACCUCCCUCCAGAAGGCAUUGGCACACUUCUGUAACCAGCAGGGAUCAGGGAUUUGGGACCCCCCGAAACACUUAAGAAAUCAAAACCUGGGGCAAGGAGAUCAGACCAUAAAGAGCAUCCGAGACCAGCCCUGGUCGGGCCCAACAUAGAGCCAUGUUCCCUGGUUCCCUCUCCUGUGAAAUCCCGCCGUCCUCCUGAAACGCUCGAAACAGAGCCGGGUAAACCGAGUCACAGAGACAACCUCCUCCCGCUAAGCCGUGUUCCCUUGAAAGCACCGGCCACAGUUCCACCGCCUGUGCCCCCCCGAGAGCCGAUCGGGGCCACACGAAGCAGGAGAUUGGACAAAUGCUCGGGGAUAAACGGACAACCUACCUCCUGUUCAGCAAACCCCUCCACCUACUUGCCCGGGGCCCUCGUCCAGCCCCCUGGCCGGGCCCCACCAGGCACGUACCACUGCACAUCACCUGGCACAUCUUGGCUUCAUUGCUUCCACACCACCGCCACCUGUCCCCGUCUCCCUGCCAACUCUCUUUCUGACGUCGGGUUUCUCGGAGCUGGGUUCUGCCCGCCUCCUCUUCUCUGUCUGCAUCUGUGGGCGUGGACGGCUUUGAGCACCACCCACACGCCAAGACCCUGGGAUGAAGGCCCCCCACACUUGCCCUCGGACUCGACUCCGCAUCCACCCAUCAGCUGGCCACCUGACCCCGCCCCUCGAAAGUCCCACAGGAAUGUGAACUCAGUGCACCUGCCCGGCAGCCAGCUGCUCACGCCUGAAGCUGGGAGUCUUCCUUGGCUCCUCUUUUUUUUCCUUCACCUCCAGCACAGAACUCAUCAGCAAGUCCCAUCAGUCGGAGCCUCGUUCAUCUCUCCCGUCUGCGCACCCCUCACCAGCCUGGCCCCAGCCUGAGCCACCGUCGCCUCUCACGUACACACCUCUCAUCCCUUCUCCACCCACACAACAGCUAGAAUGUUCUUCCUGGAACCUGCGUGUCACAAGGCAACCCUGCAGCUUUCCGGGGCUCUCAAGUAAGGUCCAGACUCUACCACACCCACCAGGCCCUGCCAGCCUCUCCAACCCCACUUUCCACCAUCUGCCCUCACCCUAACGACAGCCACAGUGACCUCUCAGUCCUUCAGAGAAGCCGAGCCUUUCCCUGCCUCAGGGCCUUUGCACAUGACAUUCUCCGUGCCGAACGCCCUCCCACAUCUGGUUCUUCACCAUCGUCUCGUCCUUUCGGGUCACAGCUGAAAUGUCGCUACCCCAGUGAGGGCCCCUCACAGAGGUCACUGGACCAGAGAAGCCAAGCCUCUCCCUGCCUCAGGGCCUUUGCACAUGAUGUUCUCCGUGCAGAACUAAAUCCUGCAUCCACCCCAGGCCACCAACAUCUCAGCCCCUGGGCUGGCAGGGGAGGGGGGCAGGGCACCGAUGGACCCAGGGCUUCACUACCUCCAGGCUCUCCCUCAUCUCCUUGGAGGCGAUGGCGACCAGCCUCUGGACGCCCUGAUCCUCUAGCUCCCCCUCCUGCUGGAUGAUCUCCUGGAGGAUGUUGUAAAUGUUGACUUUGCGCUGGGUGGAAAUCUGGGAAACGAUUACGGGCGGACGGGAAGAUCCUGGAGUAGGUUGUGGCGCCUGGGAUGGACCCAGCCCUGCCCCCAACACAGCCCACCAUCUACUCCCUCCACUGGCCCUCCUCCCAUAUACCCGUGAUUCGCAAGAUACGUGUAUUUGA